GUGGGGAAUAUUGCACAAUGGGCGAAAGCCUGAUGCAGCAACGCCGCGUGAAGGAUGAAGGCCUUUGGGUCGUAAACUUCUGUCCUUGGGGAAGAAAAAAAUGACGGUACCCCUGGAGGAAGUCCCGGCUAACUACGUGCCAGCAGCCGCGGUAAUACGUAGGGGGCGAGCGUUAUCCGGAAUUAUUGGGCGUAAAGAGUACGUAGGUGGUUUUUUAAGCGCAGGGUUUAAGGCGAUGGCUCAACUGUCGUUCGCCCUGUGCACUGGAAGACUUGAGUACAGGAGAGGAAAGCGGAAUUCCUAGUGUAGCUGUGAAAUGCAUAGAUAUUAGGAGGAACACCAGUGGCGAAGGCGGCUUUCUGGACUGUAACUGACACUGAGGUACGAAAGCGUGGGGAGCAAACAGGAUUAGAAACCCUGGUAGUCC
rnacentral:rRNA from 1 species